rnacentral:misc_RNA from 1 species
GGCAACCGCCUUCGAACCAUUCGAACUUUGUGUGCUUUGUGCGUCUGCGCGCGGACGCGCUUGCUAAAACAAAGUGUGAAAGGAGUUAUGACGAAAGUGAUUUCGUUGUGCAGCUCAGUACAUAACUGUAGAUAAACUGUGUAAGCGGAACUUGUGCAAGGCUAGUUUGGUCUAUUGUGCACUUUUCAUUUGAUCUGGUGCAAGAGAUGAGUAGCCUUGCAGAAAAACAUUUGGGUGUUCCUGUCACGCUCGCCAACUACAACUUUGAUGACGAGGAGCCUGUGAUGUAUAUCAUAAAAGAAGGCGUUGAUUUUGUGAAUCUUCCCAACACUUCCGGAUACGAGAGGGCAUUGCAGGCGCACUUGGAAAACGCGAAGGUGAUUUGUGACCUAUGUUGGGAAAUGUUGAACGUUGGUGACUGGAAGAAAGUCCAGCUAUGUUGGAGGCAGAUGUACAGCUUCGGCAGUUUACUGAAAGCACUAUGCGAACUUGGACUGAAGAAACCCACGAAGGAUAUUCUGCACUCCUGUGACAUGGGUCUUAUAAUGGGGGCUCCUAUAAUGGACAACAUACUGGCAAAGCUGGCGAGUAAAGUCCAUAAGGAAUUACCAGAGCUGAUUUCUCCUGCACUUCUUGAGAAGAUAGACUGCAAGGAAGCUCACUCGAUGACCUUGAAGUUUCCUUUGAGUCGCAUUGAAUGCCCAUCUUUGGAACAUUUUAUGAAAACAUAUUUACUAGAGGAGAAGCCUGUGAUUAUAACCAAAGGAAUGGACUACUGGCCUGCAUUGUCGACGCGACCAUGGAGCAUAAAGCACCUUGUGAGUAUUGCAGGUGGCCGCAUUGUGCCUGUGGAGUUGGGGAGUAAGUACACUGAUGAGGACUGGUCACAGAAGCUCAUGACCCUGGCAUCUUUUGUCCGCACCCACAUUCUGAAAGAGGAGGGCCCGGAUGUAGGGUUGGGAUACAUGGCUCAGCAUCAGCUAUUCCAUCAGAUUCCAGAGCUGCAAGAUGACAUAUGCACACCAACUUACUGCUGCCUUUCGGAAAAAGAGGGCGAUGAGCCAGACAUAAACCUUUGGUUUGGCCCCGAAGGCACUGUUUCCCCAUUGCAUCAUGACCCCAAAAACAAUCUUCUGGCACAAAAAACAGGGCGAUAUUUCGAGGGUGUGCAAGUUAUGUGAGGGCACAAAUUAUGCAGCUGAAUACGGUAUUCCGCGUCACCCUGGAAAAUCUUCCCACGAAAGUAUUUCUACAUGCGAGGGAAAAACAAGUCCCUUGGGGCUAGUUCAGGUGUUCGGAGAGAAGUACAUUCGCCUCUAUGAAAAAUCGCAAACUCAUUGCCUGUAUCCUUAUGAAGAGCGGCUGCUUGAAAAUACAAGCCAG